AUCUCAGAUGGGCUGUGACCUUUUGGAUGCAGAGAAGGCUGUAAUGCCACUUUUGUCCACCAGAGGGCUGCAGGGUCUCCCCUCACAGUCCAAACGGCUGAGAUUUGGUGACUCAACCAUGCCUUGGCAGGGUGCUGCCUUGAGGGGUCUCCUCUUAAGUACCUCAUGUGUUGGAGGAGAUCUGGGGGUGCAGAGGCUGCCCUGAUUCCAGAAGGGAGGAAUUUUGUAUUCGGUUCCCUCAUUUUCUCUCUCCCGGCUUCAUUUUAUGUUUCAUAACAAUUGAUUUGAACAAUUUAAAAAUCGGGAAAUCAAAGUGGGGGUGUGUGUGUGUGCAUUUUGUGGGCAGGGUAGCAAGAAGUGGGAAUAAUUCUGGUUACAUUAAUUCAUGCCUGAACUCGCAGCUUAAACAUUAUUUAAUGUUGUAGAAAUUCAGAGAUGGAAAAGUGACCUUGGAAAUAAUUUAGCAUCCCUUCAUUUAUAGCCAAAGAAAUGAAUGCGGCCCUUGCCGCUUGCGAGAUGCCUGGAAGGUUCAGAGCCUUUAGGAAUGCAGCUAAUAUGUAAGGUUAUUAAAGCGUUUUUGGUAAGAUUUUAUUUCAGUAUUCCAAUCUUUCUUCCCUUUUCUUAGACUCAGCCUGAGCCUUAACAGCAGCAACAAAGCACAAAAAGGCAUUUUUCAGUUUUCCAUUGAAAGUACUUGGCUUUCUUGUUCUAAUCCCAUAAUUAGACUUUGGAUUCUUUCCAGACUCCAUUGAAUCAGAAGAUAGAAAGGCCUGACAUGGUAGAAAAAAAUUAUCCGGGAAAAUAUUGGAGCUCUGAGGACUGCUUCUAACAGAAGUCUGCAUUAAACACAGAAACCUAAAGAGAAGACAUUGACCUGAGUUAUUUAUUUAUUACAGAAAUAUAUAAACAGAACAUCA